rnacentral:lncRNA from 1 species
GCAGCUAUAUCAUUUGGUAAGACAUGAGUUCUGUCAUCAUCAUUUCUCCCAGCAAAACCAUCAGCAAUAACAUUUGGCACAAUAAGUUCACUUUGGUGUGUGUUGUGGAAAAACUAAAAUCCUUUAUCAGGGAUGCCUGGACCAUCGACAUCAAUAUUCGCAGGGUCCCCAAUUGUAUAAGGCACCGAGCUACCCUCUCCAUGCUUCGUCCAAAUCAAGUAAUCCUUCAUAAAUCCU